GACAGCAGUAGCCGCGGUAAUACGAAGGGUGCAAGCGUUACUCGGAAUUACUGGGCGUAAAGCGUGCGUAGGUGGUGGUUUAAGUCCGUUGUGAAAGCCCUGGGCUCAACCUGGGAAUUGCAGUGGAUACUGGGUCACUAGAGUGUGGUAGAGGAUAGUGGAAUUUCCGGUGUAGCAGUGAAAUGCGUAGAGAUCGGAAGGAACAUCUGUGGCGAAGGCGACUAUCUGGGCCAACACUGACACUGAGGCACGAAAGCGUGGGGAGCAAACAGGAUUAGAUACCCCGGUAGUCCCUGUCUCUUAUAC
rnacentral:rRNA from 1 species